AGGAUUACAGAUUGGCUUAAUCUUUUUACCAUUAUAAAAGGGAAUUGAAAGCACUUACCAUUGUUGCAAAUUGCAGCAUUUGAAAGUUUAUAAUUUACAAUCAUACUGCUGAAAUCUGCUGUAUUUAAGACUUGUGUGGUUUUAUUAAAAUAUUUAGUAUGGAACAAAUCCUUCAUUUAUGCAAUUCAAGUCUGCUCCUAAAUCUAUUAAAGCAAGAGUUUGGAAACUAUAUUCUUUCUGGACGAUUAUUUUAUCAUGGUGAACCAUUUUUUGAGUAAUUACUUCGUCAAGGAGGCUGACGUAAUUACAAUCCUGUGUCACAUUGGAAGAUUCUGGUUCAUCAUUAACUAUAUUAGGGAGAAAUUCUUCCGCUUUAGACAGUAGAGGCUUUUUAUAACUAUUUAUGAUAUUGUUAAAUUCUAUUUCAUUGUCUGAAUUU
rnacentral:lncRNA from 1 species